rnacentral:misc_RNA from 1 species
AGCAGCCGCGGUAAUUCCAGCUCCAAUAGCGUAUAUUAAAGUUGCUGCAGUUAAAAAGCUCGUAGUUGAAUUUCGGGACCAUCAUGUCGGUCGUGCCUCGGUACGUACUGGCAUUGUUGGUUUCUACCUUCUGACGAACCAUGAUGUCAUUUAUUUGGUGUCGUGGGAAAUCAGGACUGUUACUUUGAAAAAUUAGAGUGUUUAAAGCAGGCUCACGCUUGAAUACAUUAGCAUGGAAUAAUGAAAUAGGACGUUUGAUUCUAUUUUGUUGGUUUCUAGGAUCGACGUAAUGAUUAAUAGGGAUAGUUGGGGGCAUUAGUAUUCAAUUGUCAGAGGUGAAAUUCUUGGAUUUAUUGAAGACUAACUACUGCGAAAGCAUUUGCCAAGGAUGUUUUCAUUAAUCAAGAACGAAAGUUAGGGGAUCGAAGACGAUCAGAUACCGUCGUAGUCUUAACCAUAAACUAUG